AGUAUAAUUAUUUUCGAACUCUUCCACUCACUGAGCUAUAAAUCCAUAUUUUUUCAUGAUUUUUCUUAUAGGUAGUAUUGGUCUCUAAUACUUUGAGAAGCCUGGUGUUUUAGAAUUAGAGCCACGCGACAUAUUGAGUGAUACAAUUCAUUUUGGUAAAACAUGAAGUAAUCGUUUCGGACCCAUUGUAUUAUAUUUUUCAUAAAUAUUUGAUUUCGGCGCAUAUUUUGUAGUAAGUCAUAGCCAGCCUUGGUGAUGGAUCUGACACAAGUCAGCACCUAUUAUCGGUGCACGUCACGUUCCUAAUCUAUUAGGGUGAUUCGGGACGGGGCGUGUUACCUUAUGACUAUCAAUUAAGCAAUUUUUAUCAAUUUAGAAGGAGAUUGACAUAGUAGUAAAAUUUCAAUUUAAAAUUGAAGUAAUCCAAUUGAAACUAAAUUGCGGUAAGUGAUCAUACUAAGCCAAAUUAAGUUUAAUGACCCAAUUGUGAUUUCACUAAAAGUGACCACAAGUGAAAUUUGAGAAAUGAUAUUCAUAAUCGUUAACUACAUUAGUCGCCCUACAUUCCUAUAUGACAGUUUGUGAUUUCAUAUAUUAAUGUGGGAGUUUUUUCUUGUCUCGUAUAUCAAAUCACUAACCACCACAUAUAAGCGACGUAGGAUGACUGCAACAAUGAGUGACUGCAAAUAGCAUUACCCUCAUUCAGUAGAAAAACUUAUAUAUCUACAAGAAUUAAAGAAAAUUGUUAUCCUCUCUUGCUUGGCUCCUUCCAUCACCAAUAAUAAACCUCUAAAGGGUAUAGUACUUUUCCACAUCAUUGUGCUUGUAUUUCUCCUUUUCUAUUUUUCUCAGGCUCACAUUUCUGCUUUUGUCAAUUUCAUUUCACUACUAAAAACACAUGGUUUUAGGCACGGAUUUUUUGUUCCCGAAAUCUCGAUAUUCAUUUCUAUUACUCUUUAUCAACGGAAUAUUUGCAACCGCAAAUCCAUUGCUAAUUUGAGGGUCGCUGAUAGUUAUCAACGGAUCCUAUCGUAGGUAAAAAGUAAACAUUUUACCAAAAAAAAUUUCAUUGAUAAAGUGUGAAUUUUUUACCAACAAAAUUUUCAUUGGUAAAAAUUUUAAUCAAUACCAACCUACUUUUCGUUGAUAAAUGUCUACCCUUACAAUUAGUAAAAAUCAAUAUUGUAAUUAGCCGUAUAGGUGUGAGGCAUGGAAAAAAAAAUUUAUCUAUUUUUUAUUAUUGUUAUUAUUAUUUAUUUAAUAAUUCUAAUUUUUUAACUUUUAGCUAACCAAAUUGGAAGGCCAAAAUAUUGUUUAACCACUUAUUGGACCACAAAUUAAUUUAUAGAGGGCAACUCCGAAGAUUUUGUUGUAAACUUUCGAUGUGGGAUAAGUGAAUUACUUUUACCAACGGAUAAUCCAUUUCUAAUUACCAACGAAAUAUCAGUAGGUGAAAUAUCCAAAUGUUAAAUGAUUACAUGAGGCACAAAAUAUCCAUUAAUAAAGAGAUAUCAUCUUUGAAAAUCCGUUGAUGAUUAUCGUAAUUCAAAGUGAAUUACUUUACCAACGGAUAAUCCGUUUCUAAUUAUCAACGGAUUGCAUCUGUUGAUAAUAUUCGAUACGUCACCUACGAAUAUUCCGUAGGUGAAAUAUCCAAAUGUUAAACGGUUACAUGAGGCAUAGAAUAUUCAUUGGUAAAAAGAUAUCAUCGUUACCAAUGGAAAAUCCGUUGUUGAUUAUCGCAAGUGAAAGUAAAUAACUUUUAUCAACGGAUAAUCUAUUUCUAAUUAUCAACGAAUUGCAUUCGUUGGUAAUUUUUCAUAGGUAAAAAGCUGCUUUUUAGUAGUGUUUCUUUUAUGGGUAUUUUUCUUACGAGAAAUCUGCACCGGCAUUCUCGUAUGGAUAUGAGAUUUCAAUAAUGCAUUUGAGGUAGUAAAUUUUGAUUAAUUUCAUUGUUUCUUUUUGCAUCUUUGGUGAAAUUUUUAAGUAAGAUUGCAAUUUUUUUGCUUCAUGAGGCUGAAAAAUGUGGAAUUUUAUUCAUGUUAUUGACUAGCAAUUCAAUGGUCUUUUGUCAAAAUUUAUUCUUUUUCAAGAAGAAAAGUAGUUCACGAAAUUCAUUUUCCUAUCAUAUUUUGUCUAGUUCCGUGGUUCUUUUGAGUACUGGGAGAAGAAAAUCUUCUCGACAGAUUCCAAAUGCCAUGAAAAGACAUUAAAAGUGGAUAAGUUGGUGGCAGAGAUUUUUUCUUGAGGAUGAUGAGAACUAGCUUGCUUUGAAGGAUAAGGAUAUGUUUGAGGGUGUGGAAUCGGAGGAGGGCUCCAGUGGUGAUGAAUUCUCUGAGAACAAAAAGUUUGAGGAGUGGAAAAGCCAGUUGAGGCGAUCAUAGAGUUAAGGGAAGCACAAGAGAAUGCAAAGAAUAAUGAGAAUAGAAGGUGGGAGGACUGGCUUGUGAAUGGAACUAAUGGUGCAUCAUGGGUUCAAGAAUUCAAUGGCACAGUUGGAGAACCUUUAAAUGAUGUGGGAGAAGAUUUUAGUGAGCUAAUUUCUGGUAGAGGAUUGAUUAAGUCAGUAAGGGAGUUGUUUCAAUGCAGAGAAGAUGACGACAUUCCGUAUGAAGAACAUAUCUUCCGUUAUGCUUCAUUCAAUUCGGCAAGUGACUUCAUGACAAUUUUUUAAAUAUCUAAUUUGCUUUCACGCAUUAAAUUAAAUUCUUAUUUAUGUUAUAAUUUAUCAUUAUCAAUCUCAAUCUUUGAUUCCUUGAUCAUGAAUUAUUAUAGCACGAUAAUUGACUGAUAUCGAAUCAAUUGCUAAACUCAAGUUUGUAAGACCAUCAACUGGACAAUCAGCUUUCUGCACAGUGACACCACGCCUUUCAGUGUGGAAAGUAUACUUCAAGUAAAAAAAUUGUCGUACUAUACUAUGACAUUUGAAGCAUUAUGAACAAAAGCUGAGAUGAAGCAAGCAUCUUUGUUUAACCUUUAUAUAAGAUUGAACGUGUAUUUCUAUGUUUUGACCGGCUAAAUUUUUGGCCAUACUUGUUAUUGUUCCAUAGGCUAUGGAUUUCUUGGUUCACGACUAAGUUCUUAUGCAAUUUCUGGAAGGAUGAUAAUUGAC
rnacentral:lncRNA from 1 species